rnacentral:lncRNA from 1 species
AUGCCGGGAAUUCUGAUCCUGCUCCUCCUCGCAGCCAUGGCGUGUGGGGAGAUGUCGGGGAGCGUCCACACGGCCAGCUGCGUCCCGGAGGCGCCCUGCCUGGACACCGACGCUCUGCACGCGCGGGCCGUCAGCGCCGCCAAGGGCAUUACUGUGUCGCACGACAAGAACAUCCUCCUGAAGCGGUCGUCGUUUGACAAAAUAACCAAAAAAGAACGUCUGCACGGAUGUGUUCUCCUGAAAAUCUGCGAUUUCUACCAGGCGGUGUUCUCGCUGAAGCUCAAUCUGUCCGAGCAGGACCACAUCAGCGAUCGCCAGGGCGUGUUCGUGGACCUGGUUGGUCUCAUGCAGCGGCUGCGGCGCUGCGUGCGUGUGAAAGAGCACAAGUGCAGGCACCUGUAUGCUCAAGCCGAGCAGAAGUCGCUGACUGAGACUACAAAUGAAAAGAGGCGGGGGGCGAAAGACUGGGCCAUUAUCCAGAUUACGAAGCUCCAGCGGGCCACUGAAGAGCUGAUGGAGUCAGAGACCCAAGACAGGGCCGUUGACGAGCUGCAGGCCCUCCACAGCUACAUCCCUGGGAAAGGGGUGCGACGCAGGAUGCCCAUAAAAGCACCCAACAAAUGAGUCCCAAAUCUCAGGCUUCAACGUGGAGCGUUUCUCACACUUUUUUCUUUUUUCAUCUGUCACUGAGUAUGUGAUUGUGGAAUGAAACUGAAUACCGAAAGCAACGCACUAUUAAUUCUUUUGUUCUCAGUUAUGAAGUUAUGAAGUUGGACCAGCAUGUCAGCAUGUUGGAAUUGCCUAUUCAUCCUACAUUUUUUGCAGUCACGUCAGUUCUAAUGUUUUGUGUUUCUUUUGUGUGCAAUCGAAUGUAAGCUAUUGUAACCUAUUUAAGGAUAAGGACAUGAAAAUGUAUACUUUCAUGUAACGUUCGUACUUUCGGUGAAAGGCUACAUGCAUGCUUGCAGAUGCAGGUGUCAUUUAAUAUGGAGGUAAUAGCUAAUGCUAUCAAUGUGCACACUGGAUAUAUACAUGUUUUUUUAUACAAUAAAUAUUUAUUGUCCAGGCUUAACUUGCUCUUC